rnacentral:pre_miRNA from 1 species
CACAUACUUCCUCCAUCCCCAAUUACUUGUAGCACAAAUCGAUGUAUCUAGUUGUAUUUUUUGUUCUAGAUACAUCCAUUUUUAUCCUUUUCCAUGACAAGUAAUUGGGAUGUAGGGAGUAUUUU